GCAGAUACAGGCUAGAUAUGGACAUGGCUUAAACAAAUAUCAAACUUUUUCUUUUCAACACAGUAAAAAUAGUAAUAAUUUUUGUCAUAAUAAAUAUUUGUUCCCCGAAAUAACCGCAACUUCCUUGGAAAUGGAUAAAAUAAAAAAAAAGUUACAACAUAAUUUUGGGGGGUAUGACUAACGGGGAAUUUUGUUUGACCCUUGUGUCCGAUGUUCUCCGUCCUUCUCCCGUCGCCCGCGCUCCCCUGAUUUUCCAUGUAAGAAACCUCCGUUUGCAAAAUAUUUGCAUUUUUUGUUUUCAGCUUAGCCUGGAUUUGUUGAUACUUAUACAGGGUGUCCAGUAAAUAGCACGACAUACUGCAGGGGGUGAUAGCUUGGGUCACUACCUAUCAAUACAACACAAUAUAUGUUCAGCAAAAUCUUACGGAUUUACAGUUUUACAAAAUUUUCCGAAAUACCGAAAAAUAUCUACCUUGAAAAAGAUUUUUAAGCAUCUCGUAAUGAAAAAAUCCUUUUCUAGUACUUUUUUUUACAUCAAAUUAUUCGUGAAUGGUUACUUUACCCAUUAAUAAGUCUUUUUUUCGAUCAAAAACAAGAAUGUAUUCAAGAAAUACAAUUUUUUGUUUAAAGGAGAAUGGCAGAUUUCGUACCGCAUAUUUUUGUCGUUGUUCAGUUAUAGAAUUUGUACCAAUUAUUAAGGCAACUAAGUCAUUUAUUUUCAUGUUAGUGUAGUAUUUUUAGAACUCCGGAUUAAUUAAUUAUACCAAUUAAAAGAUUCAAGUAAUUAAACGUAAUAUAAUCUUAAACUAAACGCAACUAAACGUAGUUCUGUUUUUAGAAGUUGCCAUUUGUAAAAUAUCACGAGGCUCGAAAUGAUAAAUAAUUAUUUAAACAUAGAAAUAACAGUAAAUAUAAUUAACCAAUUACAUAUUAUACCUUAAAAUGAAUAAUUAUUGCAUACUAUCUUAAUAAUUAACAAUUUAAUUAUAUAAAUUAUUUUCACCAUCAAUGUUUUUAUUUUGUAUUGGCAAUUAUUUUAUUGACAGGUAACGGAUAUCUUUCAGAGUCUAGUCUCUGUCUGUCAGUGUCUGUUCAGUUCUUUGCUGUUGUUUUGGAUUGUGGUUUGUUACUGCAUCUGAGCAAUUUAAGCAAAUUAUCUGGUCAUUUUUACGUUGAGUCGAGGAACUGCUCCUCCGUACUCUAUCUGUUGAUAGUACUUUCGCGAAAGGACGCUUUAUUAAUGCUUGCAAUGCAUCAAUUGCAUCGUUCGCUUGUCGCGAAUACGAAGGCACGCUUUAUCCGAUGAGAGUGAAGAUAUCGUCAAUACUAUUCGGCUGUGGACAUAUCCUAGAGAUAUAACACCUGCUGACCAUGUUUGCCGCACGGAACAAAUAUUUGAAUGAUCUGCAAGUAGUUGUUCUGGGUCUGGGUAUUUCUGCACAUGAGUUUCUAUGUUGAUGAAAUAAUACUAAGAAUAGAUUAAAUAAUUAUAAGAACAAUAAAAUAGAUGUAUAUUCCUACAAAAACAAA
rnacentral:lncRNA from 1 species